UGUGUUUAGCGCGUGCCAGUUGUGUUAAGGUGUGAAAAAGUGAAUAAAUAAAUAAAAUUUUUAGUAAAAAACAAAAUUCUAAACAUAAAAUUAAUAAAAAUUGUAAUUAUUAAGCCAUUACACAGUGUACCCUGAUUAUGUCAUAAUUUGAUGUAAUGCGAAGUUUCGCAGAAAUAAAAAAAAUAAAGUCUACCUCUGUUUUAUCUAACAAGCAGAUUCAUCAAUAUACGAAAAGACAAGACAUCUUGAAAAAGUAUUUUAGAGAUUUAUUUUCAAUAAAUUUUUAAAACCAAUUUUAACAAACCUUGAGAGAGUAGCAUAACUCAUGCUACUUUUCGGAUACACUGACGCAAACAUACAUUUAACCUCAGACGGGAGACACGAAGACCUAAACUGACUCAAUAAGUUACAAAUAUCAGCCGCUCGCAUGCUACCUGCGUAACUACCAAACAAAGUGAAAAAAAAAAAAAAAAAAUGCUCAUAAAAUCAUUGUAAUAAUCACACAAAAAAGAAACAAGAACAACACCAACAAUCUAACUACGCAUGAAUGUCUAAUUCAGUGACUGGCUCGAACACAGAACAGUAACAAAACUAAACGAACUAAAACGUUACCACUGCACUGCUAUUGUUUAGAAUUACUGCUACUGCUGCUAAUAUCGUUUUCGUGACUGUUAUUAUUGUCGUCAAUGUUGAGAUUUAAGCAACAUACACAAGGUAAUCAUCACAAAACAGCCGGUUAAAGUUAAAAAUAAACGAAGAAAUAAUAGAUAAGCGUAGAAAACUACAACAACAUCGAGGAAACAUUUAUUUUUAAAAUGCGGCCACAAGAACAGCUGUUUUCUCUAAUAUAAUUAUUUUAGAGGGAACUUAACGGCGACAAACCGCAUAAGAAAAGUAACUUUAACGGCUUUUUAAAUCGAACUGGAAAAGCAUCAAAAGCCUAAAAAUGACUUAACGCACAAUUUUUGCAAAAUAGAAAGCCACAAAGUCGAAAAAAG